AAUGGUUCUGACUUUCUCAUCUGCAUAUUGCAGUCGCAUUGGUUCAAAUUUCAGGGCCAUUUGUAUUGUGGUGGUUUCUUUAUGUUCAAGGUUAUCCACACCGGGCAGAGGACAAACUCCACUCCUGGCCUUCCUGCCCAGCUAGAUUUAAGGAUUGUAGCAGGACAGUGAGUCCCUUCUGGGAAAGGGGUCUCGUGGAGGUUAUGAAAUCCACCAGGGCAUGAAAGGAGAAAGAGAUGGCAAUCCAGACGGGAUGGAGGCAGGAGUUGGCUCAGUAACCCCAUCUUUCCUAUCCACCAGCACUCCCCUGCACUUCCCUAGUGAUUUAAUUAUCCAUUCUUUAACUCCAACUCGGUUAGCCCUGAAAUUUGGGCGAAGGGAAAUCAGACACAGCAACUGAAAUAAUCCAGCAUGCACACUUGAUCUCUUCGAUUGCCUACCACACCCAAAAGCUGUGCAGAAAGUCCUUGUCUAGCAUGUACACUGAUUUGGACCAGAAACUGGAGCCACCAUCACUGUGAAGAGACAUGGAGUGACCAGACUUCCAUGCGUGAUGAUUAAUUUCAUGUAUCUACUGGACUGAAUUAAGAGAUGCCCGGAUGGCUGGUAAAACAUUAUUUCUGGGUAUGUCCGUGAGGGUAUUUCCAGAAGAGAUUAGCAUGUGAAUCAGUAGACUGAAAAAGUUUGUCUUCACCAGAGCAGAUGCAGAAACUGAAGCACAGGCUGCUUCAUUGAAUCCACAUUCCAUGUAGCCGAGGCACAAAACCUCCACGAUGUAGACAUGGAACAUCUGUGCUAUUCCCUUGUACUGGGAUACGGCUGCCGGAGCCCCUCUCAGCAUCUGGGCCACUCCCAUUGAUCCUGCAAGCGAGCUCAAGCUGUUCUUCCAGGAAACUACAGGAGCUGUAUGUUUUCCCUGGACUGAUUCAUCUUUCCUGCAAGCUCCCUGCAUCUUGGGCCUGGUUCCCCUUCUAAACCUUUUCUCUUUCUUUCUUUCUUCCUUCUUUCUCCUUCCUUCCUUCCUUCCUUCCUUCUUUCUCUCUCUUUCUUUCUCUCUCUCUUCCUUCCUUCUUUCUUUCUUUCUUUCUUUCUUUCUUUCUUUCUUUCUUUUUCAGAUGCAGUCUCACUCGGUCACCCAGGCUGGAGUGCAAUGACACGAUCUCAGCUCACUGCAACCUCUACCUCUCAGGUUGAAGCGAUUCCCAAGUAGCUGCGAUUACAGGUGCCCACCAGCACGUCUGGCUAAUUUUUAUAUUUUUAGAAGAGACAGGAUUUUGCCAUGUUAGCCAGGCUGAUCUUGGACUCCUGACCUCAGGUGAUCUGCCUGCCUCAGCCUCCCAAAGUGCUGGGAUUACAGGCGUAGGCUACCAUGCCCAGCCUCUCCCUCUAAAUUUAAUUAUGCUCCCUGAGGACAUGAAGCAUGUUACUCUUGUUCUCUGCUUAAUCCCACUGUCUAGAACAGUCCUUGGAGCUUAAUAGAUGUUCAGUUACAUGGUUUCAAUAAGUCUGUUUUUCUAAAUUCCUUUAAAAUCUCAAUGCCUCCAAUGCCUACAGCAGUGUCCCAAUUACUUAAUUGAUACAGAAGCUCCUGUAUCACAUUAUUUUAUUUUAUUUAUUUAUUUUUAGAGUGAGGCUUUGGCUUGGUCACCCAGGCUGAAGUGCAAUGGCAUCAUCGCAGCUCACUGCAACCUCGAACUUCUGAUCUCAGCUGAUCCUCCGGCCUCGCGUUGGCCUCCUGAGUUGCUGGAGCCACCGCACCCAGCCCCCUCACUGUUGCAUGAAUGGAUGAAUGAGUUGAUUACGAACCAUUUUGGAAACACAAGGCGAUCAUUGCAUUUUGGGCGACAAUAUUUGGCCUGUAGAUAGUCUGCACUCCCAGGAAUUAUGACGUGCCUGCAAAUACUUGGCAUUGCUAUUUAAGACAUCUAUCGACAGGAUACUAAUAGCUAUUGACCAAGCACCCACCUUGGGUCAGGCACCAAGCUGGAUCCUUCGCGCACUUUACCUUGUUUCAUGCUACAACAACCCUAUGAUCAAGGAAGACAUUUUGCCUUCUAGUGGUCAGACGCAACAGAGUGACAUGGAAGAACUGAGGCCCAUGAAAGACUUAGACUAGAGAGGAGAGGGAGG
rnacentral:lncRNA from 13 species